CAAAAAAAAAAAAGAAAGAAAGAAAAGAAAAAAAGAAUCGAAGUCUUUCUGGGUCAAGCUGAUUAGCAGGUUUACAGUGGCCUUGUCUCAAAAGUUCCCACUUGUGAUUAGGAACUACAAAGCUGUGAUUAUUAUUAAUCUUCUGCACCUAUUGCUUUUGAGCAUGGCUAUCUGAAGUAUAGCCACAUCAAUUAAUAAUGGCCGAUGAGCUUUUAAUUACAGACCUCGGUAAUUGGCUGGUUAAAGGAAGAUUGGCAUCAGUAACUGAGUUCUUUUUGUUCAAUCCAUUUUGGGACUGCAACUAUAUUAGGCAUACAUCCAUGCCCCCAUGAAACUGUAAGGGACUGGAAGGAGGCAGUGUGUCCCGUGAAUCCUCAUGAACCAUCCCAGUCUUUCUUACUCCCCUGCACGUCCUCUUCAUUUACACAGAGAUAUCAACCAGGAUAUGGCAUUGCAUUGGAUCCCAACCAGGAUAUGACGUUACAUUGGAUCCCAACCAGGAUAUGGCAUUGCACUGGAUCCCAACCAGGAUAUGGCAUUGCACUGGAUCCCAACCAGGAUAUGGCAUUGCGUUGGAUCCCAACCAGGUUAUGGCAUUACAUUGGAUCCCAACCAGGUUAUGGCAUUGCAUUGGAUCCCAACCAGGAUAUGACAUUGCAUUUACUCAUCACGCCUCCUUAGGUUCCUCUUGGCUGUGACGGUUUCUCAGACUAUCCUUGUUUUUUAGGACCUUGACAGUUUUGAGGCAUACUGGAGAGCUCAACGUGGGCGUUUCUUUCUGUAACAAGUAUGCAUCAUGGCUGGCUGACUCCUCCCCAUAACAAGCAGUUUAAAGGUG
rnacentral:lncRNA from 1 species